UGGGGGAUAUUGCACAAUGGGCGAAAGCCUGAUGCAGCGACGCCGCGUGGGGGAUGAAGGCCUUCGGGUUGUAAACUUCUUUUGCUCUGAACAAGGCAUGCUAAUGGGUGUGUUGAGUGUAGGGGUUGAUUAGCGCCGGCUAACUACGUGCCAGCAGCCGCGGUAAUACGUAGGGCGCGAGCGUUGUCCGGAAUUAUUGGGCGUAAAGGGCUUGUAGGUGGCUGGUUGCGUCUGUCGUGAAAGCUCAUGGCUUAACUGUGGGUUUGCGGUGGGUACGGGCUGGCUUGGGUGCAGUAGGGGAGGCUGGAAUUCCUGGUGUAGCGGUGGAAUGCGCAGAUAUCAGGAGGAAUACCGGUGGCGAAGGGGGGUCUCUUGGCUGUUACUGACACUGAGGAGAGAAAGCAUGGGGAGCGAACAGG
rnacentral:rRNA from 1 species